rnacentral:rRNA from 1 species
GUUGAACGCUGGCGGCAGGCCUAACACAUGCAAGUCGAACGAGUGGCGGACGGGUGAGUAAUGUCUGGGAAACUGCCUGAUGGAGGGGGAUAACUACUGGAAACGGUAGCUAAUACCGCAUACCAUCGGAUGUGCCCAGAUGGGAUUAGCUAGUAGGUGGGGUAAAGGCUCACCUAGGAGACGAUCCCUAGCUGGUCUGAGAGGAUGAACAGCCACACGGGAACUGAGACACGGUCCAGACUCCUACGGGAGGCAGCAGUGGGGAAUAUUGCACAAUGGGCGAAAGCCUGAUGGAGCCAUGCCGCGUGAAUGAAGAAGGCCUUCGGGUUGUAAAGUACUUUCAGCGGGGAAGCGGUACCCGCAGAAGAAGCACCGGCUAACUCCGUGCCAGCAGCCGCGGUAAUUC